ACUUUUGGAUGGUCCCGCGGCGUAUUAGCUAGAUGGUGGGGUAACGGCUCACCAUGGCAAUGAUACGUAGCCGACCUGAGAGGGUAAUCGGCCACAUUGGGACUGAGACACGGCCCAAACUCCUACGGGAGGCAGCAGUAGGGAAUCUUCCACAAUGGACGAAAGUCUGAUGGAGCAACGCCGCGUGAGUGAAGAAGGGUUUCGGCUCGUAAAACUCUGUUGUUAAAGAAGAACAUAUCUGAGAGUAACUGUUCAGGUAUUGACGGUAUUUAACCAGAAAGCCACGGCUAACUACGUGCCAGCAGCCGCGGUAAUACGUAGGUGGCAAGCGUUGUCCGGAUUUAUUGGGCGUAAAGCGAGCGCAGGCGGUUUUUUAAGUCUGAUGUGAAAGCCUUCGGCUCAACGAAGAAGUGCAUCGGAAACUGGGAAACUUGAGUGCAGAAGAGGACAGUGGAACUCCAUGUGUAGCGGUGAAAUGCGUAGAUAUAUGGAAGAACACCAGUGGCGAAGGCGGCUGUCUGGUCUGUAACUGACGCUGAGGCUCGAAAGUAUGGGUAGCAAACAGGAUUAGAUACCCUGGUAGUCCAUACCGUAAACGAUGAAUGCUAAGUGUUGGAGGGUUUCCGCCCUUCAGUGCUGCAGCUAACGCAUUAAGCAUUCCGCCUGGGGAGUACGGCCGCAAGGCUGAAACUCAAAGGAAUUGACGGGGGCCCGCACAAGCGGUGGAGCAUGUGGUUUAAUUCGAAGCUACGCGAAGAACCUUACCAGGUCUUGACAUACUAUGCAAAU
rnacentral:rRNA from 1 species